AAGUGAAAGAUAUUGGUUAAAAAUACUUAAGUGGGAGAUUUAACCUGAAGGAAUAGUUUGUAUUAAUAAAGGGUGAAAUCAAUUUUUUAAUGUAUAAUUGGUUUUCUGGGUUAAAGUUGGCUGAAGUUGUUAAGGUUGAGGUAUGGACCAGGAUUAGAUACCCUGUUACACUUUACUUAAAAUUAUAUACCUAGGUAGUAAGCAGUUAUGGUCUUGAAACUUAAAGGAUUUGGCGGUAACUUAGUCUAGUUAGAGGAACCUGUCCUGUAAUCGAUAUACCACGGAGAAUCUUACUUUAUUUUGAAAUUUCAGUUUAUAUACCGUCAUUAUCAGAUAACUUUAAUAAGAUAAAAGUUGUUAAAAUAACUUUCAGUUAGUAUAUUAGAUCAAGGUGUAGCUUAUAAUAAAGAAGAGAUGGGUUACAAUAACAUUAGUUUAUUUAACGGAUUAAGAGGAGAAUUACUCUUUUGAAGGAGGAUUUAAAUGUAAGAUUAUUUUAAUAUGGUGAUUUGAUUUUAGCUCUAGGUUAUGUACACAUCGCCCGUCGCUCUCGUUAUAUAAAGCGAGAUAAGUCGUAACAUAGUAGAUGUACCGGAAGGUGCAUCUAG
rnacentral:rRNA from 1 species